GCUAGCAUUAAUGAAAACAUGUAUCACAACCGUAGCUCUGAAAACUCAAGAUAUUUAGUGGAAAGAACUCCUAAAGAUACAUCUGAGUGUUUAAAGUAAAAGCAAAACAUGAACAAAAACAUUUUCCAAAGGAAUCAAAUGAGGCUCAGCUAAUUUCAUGUCACUUAACAUCAAUAAGGAAAAAUACAUUGAAAAAUCUAUACAUUAUGUAAGCAAUGAUCUUAUUAGUAUAACAAAGAAUGAAAUAGCUCUUAACUAUUUUCAACUUUGCCUCUAAAAUUCCUUUCAUCUGAUGGCAGAACAUAUUAUUUCCUGUUCUUAUUAUACUCUGUGGGAAGUAGCACACCCAUUUUAAUGUCACUUUUCCCCUGUAUCAACAUUUAUGGGAGGAAUUAUUUUUGUGCUCUCAAGGUUGAUAUCUCAGAUCCAGAAGUCAUGUGGCAAUGGAUCUCAAACUUAAAUAUGAGAAUACCUGGAGAACUUGUUACUAUCCUGAGAGCUCUCCUACAUACAGUGAUUCAGGUCUGGUGAGGGAUUCAGAAAUCUGCAUUUCUAACAAGCAUCCCAAAUGAUUCUAAGACAGGUCUUCCAUAGAUCUUGCCCUGAUUUAAGCAACCAGAGUAAUUUUCGUGUCUACUUUCCAACUGCAGAGGAUAAGUUUUAAACUCUUAUUUUCUAUAUGCCCAUAAGAGGUGGAAAGAUUACAGGAAAAUACAUGAGUAUAAAUAACACAUCUUUCAUGACCUUUACAGGGAACUCAAAUAACUGUAAUUUUUGAUUUACAAUAAGUUUUGAAAUGAGGCACUUCAAGAUUCUGAGUUGCUUCAUGAGUCAUCAGUGAUUAAUCUUUCCAUAGUUUUAACCCUGUGAAUUUUUUUUUUUGAAAACUGGUUAUUUUUGAAUCAGGUUCUAGCUCCUAGGUGAGUGGAAUAUUAAAAUUUUCAAGGCAUAUCUUUAAAAAUUACUCCAGGUAAAUAGUAAUUUUCUUACCAAUUUCUCGAAUAUUAGAAUAUGAUAUACUUUAUGAUGUACAGUUCACCCGUGAAUCACACAGGUUUUGGGUGGUGAUCCUCUGUGCAGUCAAAAAUACAAGUAUAACUUAUAAUCAACCCUACCUAUAUUUGAUUCCUCAGUAUCUGUGGUUUUGCAUUGGCCAAUUUAACCUGUCAUGAAUCAGGUAGUACUGUAGUUCUUACUAUUGAAAAAAAUCUGAGCAUAAGUGGACCCAUGCAGUUCAAAUCCAUAUGAAAGUUCAACUGAACUUUAUUUUUUUCUACAUACAAUGAAAAUAGCAUACUUCUACAAACAUGUAAAUUUCAUAGGGUAAUAUUUAUUCCACUUAUCUUCAUAUAUAAGGUUCUGUUUUAUAACCCAGUAAUAUAUUUAUUUAUUUAUUUAUUUCUGGGUGUGCCGGGUCUUCGUUACUGCUCACAGAACUUCUCUAGUUGCAGUGCACAGGCUCCUCACUGUGGUGGCUUUUCUUGGAUCAGGGCACAGGCACUGGGGGCACGAACUUCAGUAAUUGCAGCACGUGGUCUCAGUUGUGGCCCAGACUUAGUUGCUCCAGAGCAUGUGGAGUUCCCCUGGACCAGGGAUAAAACCUGUGAUCCCUGCAUUGGCAGGUAGAUUCCUAUCCACUGGGCCACCAGGGAAGUCCCUAAAUAGUGUUUUAAGUAUAUUCAGCUGCCUUUGGG
ensembl:lncRNA